rnacentral:lncRNA from 1 species
GCUUGCAAUACAUGAUGUGAUCACCUGGGAUGUAUUAGAGAGCUCAAAAAGUAUUUGAGGUGAAUUCUAGCCUGCCUGACUUCUCUUAGGGAGAAGCUAAAUAGAUAUAUCCCAGCUUUCAGAUAUUUAAGCUACUCUGCUUCAUGGAGAUUACUUAAAUCAAAUAAUUAAUUGUUAAGAGAAAAGCUACUUUCCUUACUAAUCAAACUUCAUCCUAAAGAUGCAUCUUAAUGAAUGGGCUAAGUCAACUCGUUGUUCUAGUUACCAGUCAUGGAAUAUUCUUUCUGCUGUGAUACACAUAGAAAGAAGGUUCAUGUUGGACUGUUCUGUAAAAUCUUUCCAUGAAAUGCUAGAACUUUAGUGUUUGCUCCAGGAAAAGGUGAGUUAAUAUGUGUUUCCAUGUACCCUGAUAGUUGCCUUGCUUAAUCAGUAGCAACAAGGAUGUCUUUACUGACACUGAAAGCUUUCCCAAAGUAUUGUUUCCACUGUUACUGAUAUGUUGCUUAACAGAACUAGCUUAAGCUUGCCAUACCAAGUUUUUCAUUGCUUGGAUUGCAUUGGUUGGUUAUCUUUUUCUGUUAACUUUCCAUAUAUAACUUAAUUAGGUUGUGAAUAAUAGGAUAUGUUAUCAGAUGGUAUGGCAUUAUUAACUUCAGUGAAGUGUUGUAUGAUGACCUGGACAAUAAUUUACACGUUUUUCAUGUUUAACUGUCUCUGACCAUUUUGGAUGAAGGUAACUGCCAGCAAGUGUGAUUGCAACUCCACUGCCAAAAAAGGUGUGUCUGUUUAUGCCAGUGAGGUGCUUUACUGAUGGUGUAAAUGUAAUAGCAUGGUAAUUACUGAUUAUAGAUACAAUUAGGAUCAAACUAUUGUACAUACAGA